AUACGGAGGGUCCAAGCGUUAUCCGGAAUCAUUGGGUUUAAAGGGUUCGUAUGCGGGUCAAUAAGUCAGAGGUGAAAUCUUGCAGCUUAACUGUAAAAUUGCCUUUGAUACUGUUGACCUUGAAUUACUGUGAAGUGGUUAGAAUAUGUAGUGUAGCGGUGAAAUGCUUAGAGAUUACAUAGAAUACCGAUUGCGAAGGCAGAUCACUAACAGUAUAUUGACGCUGAUGAACGAAAGCGUGGGUAGCGAACGGGAUUAGAUACCCCUGUAGUCC
rnacentral:rRNA from 1 species